GAUUCCGGCCUGGAAAACUUGAGUAUACUGAAGCAUAGCGUGCUCGAGAACCAGCUCACACUUCCCCAGUCAAUUCUAUUCAAUAUUAGUGAUUGAUACAAGGUCCCAAAUAUGAUCUCCAAAGGUGUCUUUGUCAUUCAUUACAACCCCAAGGUCCUUAUGCACCUCCGUCCUUUCCUUUGGUACAUUGUCUAGUCCCUGGAUGGGAUCAACGAUAUCGGUCUCACCGUGCACCAUCAGUCGGAAUUUCUUUGGGUUGAAGUGCGUGUUGUUAGCCCUUGCCCAUCCACAGAGCAGGUCAACAUCUGCCUGUAGCAACUAAUCCUCUCCUCUAUGUUCGAUGACCAUCUGGAUAUUCAAAUCGUCGACAAACAAUAUAGUGAUAUAUUUGACCACCAUUGACCAAAUUUCGGCGCUCUCUUCGUUUUGAGUUCCUUCCUUUGGCCGAAGUCUUCCGGCUCUAAAAGGUGUGGCAGUGAGUUCGUGGACCAUCUGAUCGGCUCGUCCACAAGUGAAUGGGGCUAAAAAGUACAUCAACGAAAAGAUCUUUUUUAAUAAGGUUCAACCAAGGCUUGCUGGGGUACCGUAUUGGUAGAGCAACCGCUUUCCAAGUUGCGAAUCCUGGUUCAAUCCCAGGGGAGCCGAGUCCAAGCUUCUUUGCGGUGUUUAAAUUGCAACAUAAGUUGCUGCCUUAACAGCUUAAAUGGGUGAACCUGCGAUCAUUCCCGAGGGUGAGGUAAUAAUUAAUGUUGCACGUUUGGUUGCGACAACGGAGCGGGAAUAUCCCUUAAUUGGGACUCCCAUCAUCAGAAGCAAGCCGAGCGAGAGAGCUGUCUUCUGACUCCGAACAAACAAACAAACAAACAAAGGUUCAACCAUUUUAGCAGGGUUUGUGCAAUGAUUUUACCUGGUUCUGAAAGCUGCUUGGUCCGAAGAUAGCAAUUAUGAGUCUCAAUAAAUCGAAUUCUCGCGAUUUUACCCUUCCUUCUUGUUGAUCCAUGCUCGAACUGACUAGUUAGCUGACUAUAACUAGGGUGACUCAAAGUCACAUUUUCAGUUGAGAGUGAAAGCCGCAUCUUGUGGUGUAGAUUACGGGAGAAAAUUAAAACGAAUGAUAUUGCAAAUAUCACG